UACAGAGGGUGCAAGCGUUAAUCGGAAUUACUGGGCGUAAAGCGUGCGUAGACGGUUAUCUAAGUCGGGUGUGAAAUCCCCGGGCUCAACCUGGGAAUUGCAUUCGAUACUGGAUAGCUAGAGUUCGGCAGAGGGAAGUGGAAUUUCCGGUGUAGCGGUGAAAUGCGUAGAUAUCGGAAGGAACAUCAGUGGCGAAAGCAGCUACCUGGACCAACACUGACACUGAGGCACGAAAGCGUGGGGAGCAAACAGG
rnacentral:rRNA from 1 species